UAACAAAAGUAUGUGUACAAAUUUAUUUAUGCCCACAAUGUGGUGUAAGGAAAACACUUAUUCGGAGCACAUUUUCCAAUUUCAAGUCUGGAUUCUCUACAUCCUUUAAUCACAAUGUCAUAUAUGUUAAUAGAAUAGCAGUGUGUCAUAUGAAUCUCAAUUUUUUGAACAAGAAAAUGAAUUUGGGGAUUUGAAUGAACAAAGUGAAGAUAUUGCUGAAAAUUAUGACAAGCACCAAGAGUUAACCACCAAAACACAAGUUUUUAAUGACUCUGAAGAUAUCUUUACCAAGCAAUCUAUCUCAUUAUUACAGAGGAACCCAAACAACCAUGUCAACAUAGUCAAAGUCAUUUGUCACCCACUGGCCACUAUACUGGCCUAUUGUUACAGUUUGACUUUGCAUCAAAUGUAUCAUGUCAGCAAUCCUUUGUUGUUCAUGAUUAUAAUGCAAACAAAAGAACAAUUAUGCAUAAUUCAUUUGUAUUUGUACAUCGAUAUCCCACCUAUUGCUUGAUGGCUAUGGUUGAUAU